AUUACUUAACUGUGAGAAGGCGUGUUGUAGCCCCAGCAACAACCCAUCAUGAUCAAAUGAGCCCUGGAGGUGCAGCCCCAACAGUGCAGCCACGUCGGCGCAUCCCUGUAGCCCCAUCUUCACAUGAUGAACUUGUUGGAAAGGAUGUUAUAUUAUAUGCCUUGCUGCGAUCUGAUGUAGCAGUGGCUAAGGGAACAAUUAUUUCAACUGAUCCAAAGAGCACGCUAGGAGAUGUGGCUCUUGGAAAUCAGUAUUGUGAAGUGGUUGUGAAUGUUGUGCUGAAAAGGGAUACAGUUCUGCCUCGUCCUUAUGGUUAUGUGGAGACCAUGGCUGAUGCACA